GCGCCGAGCCCCCGCCCCGCGGGCCCACAAGGCGGGGUCCCCGCGCGCCCCCCGCCCGCCUUACCUCUCUGGACCAGAGCGGCCAAGGAGAAAGCGAGGCAGAUGAGGACCGCCGAGCGCCAGACCACCAUGGCUGGGAGCGGGCGGAGGGCCGCGGAGGAGCGCGGUUUGCGCGAGCGCCCGAGGGGGAGGUCGGGGAGGCGCGCGCACGGAGGAGCCGGAGCCGCAGGAGGAGGACCCCGCCGCCACUGCAGGGCCCCGCCCAGAGCCGGCGCGCGCGGCCCAGCCCGGGGAGCGGGGGAGGGGCGCGCCGGCGGGGCCAGAGUCGAAAACGUGCUCAAUGAUCGACAGACGCGCUGCAGUCCUUUCCCAUGAACCCCCGCAAACGGAGUCCAUCUCCAGGGUUGGGCGAAAUCAGAUUCCAACACUGCCCUGAACAGCAAAAUGCCCGCCGCAGCCUUUGACGUGAACGCCCUCGAGGAGGGCUCCAGCUGCAGCCAGCUUUCCAGGACAAAGAGAGAGCUCCGCUGCUCGCCAGAGUGGCAGAGCGGCGGCGUCGAGCCAGCCCCUGCCCUCCCUCGGCAAGGUGGGCCACGUCCUCCUUUCGGGGGCGGCUGCUACCCCCCCCCAUUAUUUGGCAAAGGCUGCCCUGAGCCCCAUCGUCCUUAGAGGGCGGCUACCGCCACCUCCCCUCGGUGUGCCCCAGCUCCCAUCUGCACCACCAGCACCUCCAGAGCCCCCCGCCUCCCGCACCGGUGGCCCCCGCCCCUGGGAGUGAGCCGUACCAGGGGGGCGGGGGUCUCCCUGACUUAGAGCCGACAUCUUUCCCCCUGACUUCCAGCAUCGGUUGCUCUGCAUCCUGGGACUGGAAAAACAAAACCUUUAAGGGGGUAGUGAGUGUUCCGAUUCUCAGGCAGUUACUUAUUCUGUGACACUAACUACCUGCAGAAUUAAGGGAAAUAGCUAGGAGUUGCUGAACGCACUAUGUACGCGGUUCAGUCCAGGCAUUUUAUCCUUCUUUUGUCUUUCUGACAACUUCCUGUACCACCUCAAUGAUCAAUGAGGGGAAAAGAGCAAACCGGAGAUUUCUGGAGUUAACCAGCUACAGUUCUACAGUGUCAAGGACACAAGAGGACCCCUAGGAACCCCAGUGAGUGAAUGGCUAAGAACAUGCGCUUUGGAGCCACCCAGGGAGGAGAUACUGGCUGGACCCCAGAAGGUUGUGCUGAGGAUUUAUUGCUACGGGGGAAAGUGGGGGACCUGAGACACAUGGCACAGAGAGGCAUUCUUGCCAGUCUUGUAACACCUAAAGAAAUCCUGGCUACUGCGACGUUGAACGGUUGCUGUGUACUCCAGGCUGCAGGGAGUGAGCACAGGAGAUGACACAGGAAUAAGAACCAACAGAAAAGGAUGAUGUUUACCAUGUGCCAAAAGACACCCACUCAAAAAAAUAAAAAGCCAUUAAUCAAAAUA